rnacentral:tRNA from 1 species
AGGGAGAUAGUUAACGGUAGACAAAACGGCUCCAACCCGUUAAGUGUGGGUUCGAAUCCUACUCUCCCUG